UUAAGGUACGGCGAUAUUGUCCCUACAACGCCAAUCGGCAAGAUAUUUGGCGGGAUUUGCUCACUGUCCGGUGUACUGGUUAUAGCUCUGCCUGUUCCCGUUAUCGUUUCAAAU
rfam:Schistocephalus solidus strain NST_G2 genome assembly, scaffold: SSLN_scaffold0002625